rnacentral:rRNA from 1 species
UUCCAGACUCCUACGGGAGGCAGCAGUGAGGAAUAUUGGUCAAUGGGCGGAAGCCUGAACCAGCCAAGUCGCGUGAGGGAAUAAGGCCCUACGGGUCGUAAACCUCUUUUGCCGGGGAGCAAGGGCGGGGACGUGUCCCGGCCCGGAGAGUACCCGGAGAAAAAGCAUCGGCUAACUCCGUGCCAGCAGCCGCGGUAAUACGGAGGAUCCAAGCGUUAUCCGGAUUUAUUGGGUUUAAAGGGUGCGUAGGCGGAUUGAUAAGUUAGAGGUGAAAUGUCCGAGCCUAACUCGGGAACUGCCUCUAAUACUGUUGAUCUAGAGAGUAGAUGCGGUAGGCGGAAUGUAUGGUGUAGCGGUGAAAUGCUUAGAGAUCAUACAGAACACCGAUUGCGAAGGCAGCUUACCAAUCCAUAUCUGACGUUGAGGCACGAAAGCGUGGGGAGCAAACAGGAUUAGAUACCCGUGUA